rnacentral:rRNA from 1 species
AGGGUUUGAUUCUGGCUCAGGACGAACGCUGGCGGUGCGCCUUAUGCAUGCAAGUCGAGCGAAGCUUUUCAGUAGUUUACUACAGAAAAUGACUGAGCGGCGAACGGGUGAGUAACGCGUGAGCAAUCUACCUUAGUUACAGGGAUAGCCCGAGGAAACUCGGAUUAAUACCUGAUAUUCUUUAUUUCUCGCAUGAGAAUAAAAGGAAAGGUCAGCCGAACUAAGAUGAGCUCGCGUUCUAUCAGCUAGUUGGUGAGGUAAAAGCUUACCAAGGCUACGACGGAUAGCUGGUCUGAGAGGACGAUCAGCCACACUGGGACUGAGACACGGCCCAGACUCCUACGGGAGGCUGCAGCAGGGAAUAUUGUGCAAUGAACGAAAGUUUGACACAGCGACACCGCGUGUGGGAUGACGGAUCUAGGUUUGUAAACCACUUUCAGGAGGGAAGAAAAUGACGGUACCUCCACAAGAAGCCCCGGCCAACUACGUGCCAGCCGCCGCGGUAAUAC